GCAGUGGUGGUUCAGUGAUAGAAUUCUCACCUUUCCAAGCAGAGGCCUGGGUUCAAUUCCCAGCCAAUGCU
rnacentral:tRNA from 1 species